rnacentral:rRNA from 1 species
CCCUUAGAUGUUCUGGGCCGCACGCGCGCUACACUGAUGCAUUCAACGAGUUUCUUCCUAGUCCGAGAGGAAUGGGUAACCUUUUGAAAGUGCAUCGUGAUAGGGAUAGACUAUUGCAAUUAUUGGUCUUCAACGAGGAAUUCCUAGUAGACGUAGUUCAUCAGACUGCAUCGAUUACGUCCCUGCCCUUUGUACACACCGCCCGUCGCUCCUACCGAUUGAAUGCUCAGGUGAGCCAUUCGGACUUUCAUCAUGCUGGUUUCCAGUUUUGAUGAAGGAAAGUCUUGCGAACCUUAUCAUUUAGAGGAAGGAGAAGUCGUAACA